UCUGGAUCUGUUGUACGAAGAAAACUUGGAAGAUCCCUUAACCGUAUAUCUUUCAUUCCUGGAAUCCAGUCUAGUACUUGAUCCAAAUAGCCAUUUGUUAAAAAGCUCUCGUCUGCGAACAAAAAUUAAAUGCAUAUGUAGCUUACCAUUAUGGGCUAGUAAAUGAAGACAACAGCAGAAGAGGAAUUAGCGUAAAAUCAGAAGAGAAGAAAGGUUCCCUAGCUUGAACUCAAAUUUCAGGUUACGCAGCCGAAGGGCUACCCUGGAAUUAUAACCACGGAUCUGGUACAUGUACUGACUAUACCAUGAUCUAGCAUAAACUACCAGGAUAUUUUACCAUUCAAUCAGAAAGUUUUAGUCCAUAAGAACUCAGUUCAUGUAGCAAUCUAUUUAUUUCCAUGGAUGACGGCUACGAUGAUGCAGGCACAUGAACUACUAGGAUAUUUAUCUAAUGCCCAAAUGAAAUAAAAGAAAAUCAUAAUGAAGUUGUCAUUUCAAUUCCAAUUCUUGUUCUUACCUUUUAAUGGAAACAGUCCUCUUUCUUUGAGCUCUUUAUAUUGCUUAAGCCCCAUGAAAGUGCAAGCAGAGAUAGAAAAGAACAAGGCAACAGGAAUUCCAUGCCUCUCAGCAGCAGUGAUGGCAGCUGGCACAAAUCCAUCAGAUACAAUGCAAGUCACUUGAGGAACAUCAGCAGAUGCUGUAUGAUUGAGCUUGGCAAGCAAUUCAUUAAAUGGAGCUAGCAAGUUCUUCUUGCAAGCCUCCAAAAUUGCUUGUGUAUCUUGGGUAGCAUUCUCAUCUGAAGGAGGGAGGCCAUCUGGGAUAGAUUCGAAUCGAAAGUCGGGCAAGCCAUUCAGGGAAUAAGGACCUCUAGAUUUAAGCAUGCGUCUGUGGUUGAACUCUGUGUUCACAAAGGUUAUGCGAAAACCUCGGUAAUGCAGUAGUUUUGCUAGUUUAAGCAUUGCCUUUACAUGGCUUUGAGCUGGACAGGGAAUACAGAUUACAUGAGGCUUGUCAGCUAAGAUUUUGCGAAACAUGUCUCUAGCUCUUUCCUUCUUUCUCUA